rnacentral:rRNA from 1 species
UACAGAGGGUGCGAGCGUUGUCCGGAAUCACUGGGCGUAAAGGGCGCGUAGGUGGCGCGACAAGUCAGUGGUGAAAGUUCGACGCUCAACGUCGAAUCGGCCACUGAUACUGUUGGGCUUGAGCACUGUAGAGGCUAAUGGAAUUCCGGGUGUAGCGGUGGAAUGCGUAGAGAUCCGGAAGAACACCAGUGGCGAAGGCGGCUCACUGGCCCGGUACUGACGCUGAGGUGCGAAAGCGUGGGGAGCAAACAGG